GACGAACGCUGGCGGCGUGCUUUACACAUGCAAGUCGAACGGUGAAGGUGGAGCUUGCUCCGCCGGAUCAGUGGCGAACGGGUGAGUAACACGUGGGCAACCUGCCCCUAACUUUGGGAUAACUACUCGAAAGAGUAGCUAAUACCGGAUACGAAGUCUGUAGGCAUCUACGGAUUUGGAAAGUUCUUCGGUUAGGGAUGGGCCCGCGGCCUAUCAGCUUGUUGGUGGGGUAGUGGCUCACCAAGGCGACGACGGGUAGCCGGCCUGAGAGGGCGACCGGCCACACUGGGACUGAGACACGGCCCAGACUCCUACGGGGGGCAGCAGUGGGGAAUAUUGCGCAAUGGGCGAAAGCCUGACGCAGCAACGCCGCGUGCGGGAUGAAGGCCUUCGGGUUGUAAACCGCUUUCAGCAGAGAAGAAGCGAAAGUGCCGGUACCUGCAGAAGAAGCACCGGCUAACUACGUGCCAGCAGCCGCCGUAA
rnacentral:rRNA from 1 species